rnacentral:siRNA from 1 species
AGGAGUUCCUCGAGGAGAUAAACA